rnacentral:rRNA from 1 species
UGGGGAAUAUUGGACAAUGGGCGCAAGCCUGAUCCAGCCAUGCCGCGUGAGUGACGAAGGUCUUCGGAUUGUAAAGCUCUUUUUAGCAGGGAAGAUAAUGACGGUACCUGCAGAAUAAGCCCCGGCUAACUUCGUGCCAGCAGCCGCGGUAAUACGAAGGGAGCUAGCGUUGUUCGGAAUCACUGGGCGUAAAGCGCACGUAGGCGGAUAGUUAAGUCAGGGGUGAAAUCCUGGGGCUCAACCCCAGAACUGCCUUUGAUACUGGCUGUCUCGAGGUCGAGAGAGGUUGGUGGAAUUCCUAGUGUAGAGGUGAAAUUCGUAGAUAUUAGGAAGAACACCAGUGGCGAAGGCGGCCAACUGGCUCGAUACUGACGCUGAGGUGCGAAAGCGUGGGGAGCAAACAGGAUUAGAUACCCUCGUAGUCCCUG